rnacentral:lncRNA from 1 species
CUCAACUACCACUUGGGCAGAGCCCAACGUCUCCUUCAGUCCCGUCAGUCAGGCUGCCAAACAUCCCAACUGACAGCUGCAUCCUGUGUCUGAUACAGAACACCCCGGGCGCCUCGCAGCCUCGCUCCCCUUCCCUACCUCUUACUAAAGGGGAUUCUUCCCAAGCAUCCACUGUGCUGUAAAUUAAAUCUCUGCCCCUUGCAUUUUUAAACCGUCCACCCCCUAACCCUUACCGCCAGCUUCCCUCCAAAUCAGAAAACCCCAAACACCUGUAAAAUUAAUCGAAAGCACGCCAACACCUGAAGCAGCGCAAGCGGGAUCCACACCCGGGCAAGUCCUCUGUGGCUUUAGUGGUCGGGAAUAGCCCGUGCCUGACAUGGCCUCCUCUCCCCGCUCCGACCGUUUGACCCCCGAGCCCUGGAAUCCAGCCAAGGUCUCGGGGGCGCAGGGUCAACCUGGUCAGCGUCGGGGCGGCUCGGGGGCGCGGCUCGUCUCCCCUCAUCCCGCCCCAGCCCGCGCGCCCGCACCGUCGCCGCCGCCACCGCCUCCCGGGUGGGCCCUCGGAACAUCCCGCGCCGCGUCCUCCCCGCCCAGGCUCCCGCUUGCCCGCCCGCCGGAGCCCGGCCCGCGCCGCUGGCAGCCAUCAAGUGGCUCGUUAAGGAAAUGCAGGUGAGUGCGUGCGGCGGGGCGGCUGCCGCCGGAGACGUGGGGUGUGUGCCUGUCUGUUCGAGCGGGAGCAAGAGGGAGCGCGAGCGAGCGGGCCAGCGCGGGAGCGACCGGGAGAGGCUCACCGCCCCGGCUCCCCGCCCCGCCGCGCCCGCAGCCGGCAGCCCGAGCGCGUGGGGCAGCGCCUCGCCCUGACGGAGGACGGUCCCUCAGCUUCUCCGCCAGCCGCUCGUCGGCCUCCCCCGCCCCGCGCUCCCUCCCAGCCCGAGCCCUCCCGCUGCUCCUCCUCCUCAGCCUCCUCCCUCCUCGCGCCGCUGACAGGCAGCCUCCGCGGGGAGAGUGCAGGUACUUUGCCUUCAGAAUAAUUUGCAGGACCCCGGCGAGCUUGCGGAGCGCCCAGAUUUUCUCUUGCCCUCGCCCCCUCCCUCCCGAAAAGAAGAUCCCACUUUUGAAACAAGCAGAACCCCCGAAGCAGGAGCAGCAGACCAAAGCCAGAGCCCGACGGGCGGCUGUGCAUGUGCUGUCCUUUCUUGCAGUUUAUUCUGGGCCUGUGUGGAAUAGAAAGACAAUUCUUUAUUUGACUGGAAGGAGAGAAAAGAGAAGACUCCUCAGGGUUUCCAAGGAAGACUGGAGCGGCUGCUUUAGUGAGAGAUGGAGCUGAAAUUGCCAGCUACAGCUAUCAAGACCAUCCCCAAGAAAAAGAAAUGCAAAAUAGCAAAAUGGCUGUCUGAGGAGGCUUUACAAAUAGCUGUGAAAAGAAGAGAAGUGAAAAGCAAAGGAGAAAAGGAAAGAUAUACCCAUUUGAAUGCAGAGUCCAAAGAAUAACAAGGAGAGAUAAGAGCUUUCCUCAGUGAUCACUGCAAAGAAAUAGAGGAAAACAACAGAAUGGGAAAGACUAGAGAUCUCUUCAAGAAAAUGAGAGAUACCAAGGGAACAUUUCAUGCAAAGAUGGGCUCGAUAAAGGACAGAAAUGGUAUGGACCUAACAGAAGCAGAAGAUAUUAAGAAGAGGUGGCAAGAAUACACAGAAGAACUGGACAAAAAAGUAAUUCGAAACCCAGAUAAUCAUGAUGCUGUGAUCAUUCACCUAAGCCAGACAUCCUGGAGUGUGAAGUCAAGUAGGCUUUAGGAAGCAUCACUACAAAUAAACUAGUGGAGGAGUGGAAUUCCA